AAGUUCAUUGACCCAUCUACAACAACAUGUGUAUCUAAAGUAUUGGAAUUCAGUGAUUUCCUUUUGUCCAAGCAUCACACUAACCAAAGGUCAAAAUGGAGCUCUAUUAAAGCAAUACUAAAUGUGAAAGGUUUUGUUUAUGCAGUGCCGUGGAUGCAAGAACAACUUUCCAUCACUGGAAAGGCUUCAAAUGCCUAGCUUAAUUCAAAGAAAAGGAUGCAAAACCAAAGCCAGAGAAAGUUAAGAGUAUAUAUGCUGUGUCUAAAGUAUAGUGCAAAAAGGUUUGAGGGAAAAGAGGCAGACAUAUGACAAGUUAUGGCACCAAAGAUUAAUAAUAUUGUGCAAGUUGAGAAAACCAAGUUGAAAGCAUCUGGACAUCAGUAACUAUAUGACAUUCCAUUUUCUACUAUUUACAUGUUCUGUACAUGUAAAUAUAUUUAGUAUAAUAGCCUAGUUAUAUUUUUGCUAUUUUCUUGCACAGUCAUUUUAUUUGGUGGGAAAACUGCAGUAUGGUAAUAAUUUUAUCUAGAAAAUAUUGAAUAAAUUUAUACAUUCAUAAAAAAACCAAGCUAAAAUAUUUCAA